CCUACGGGAGGCAGCAGUGAGGAAUAUUGGUCAAUGGCCGGAAGGCUGAACCAGCCAUGCCGCGUGAAGGUCAGUGCCCUAUGGGCGUUAAACUUCUUUUGUGCGGGAGCAAUAAUGGUCACGUGUGGCCAGACGAGAGUACCGUACGAAUAAGCAUCGGCUAACUCCGUGCCAGCAGCCGCGGUAAUACGGGGGAUGCAAGCGUUUUCCGGAUUUAUUGGGUUUAAAGGGUGCGUAGGCUGUGAGGUAAGGCAGCGGGUGAAUGCCCCCGCUCAACGGGGUGAAGUGCUAUUGAUACUGGCUUGCUUGAAUGCGGAUGCCGUAGGAGGAAUGUGUGGUGUAGCGGUGAAAUGCAUAGAUAUCACACAGAACACCGAUUGCGAAGGCAUCUCACGAAUCCGCGAUUGACGCUGAUGCACGAAGGCGUGGGUAUCGAACAGGAUUAGAUACCCCGGUAGUC
rnacentral:rRNA from 1 species